GACGAACGCUGGCGGCGUGCCUAACACAUGCAAGUCGAACGGGACCGGGGGCAACUUCGGUUCAGUGGCGGACGGGUGCGUAACACGUGAGGAACAUGACCUUCGGCGGGGGAUAGCCGGCCCAACGGCCGGGUAAUACCGCGUACGACCUUUCGGGAACAUCCCUGGAUGGUGAAAGCAGCAAUGCGCCGAUGGAGUGCCUCGCGGCCUAUCAGCUAGUUGGUGGGGUAACGGCCUACCAAGGCGACGACGGGUAGCUGGUCUGAGAGGAUGGCCAGCCACAUUGGGACUGAGACACGGCCCAGACUCCUACGGGAGGCAGCAGUGGGGAAUAUUGCGCAAUGGACGAAAGUCUGACGCAGCGACGCCGCGUGUGGGAUGAAGGUCUUCGGAUUGUAAACCACUGUCGGGAGGGACGAAUACGCCGCAAGGCGGGUGACGGUACCUCCAAAGGAAGCACCGGCUAACUCCGUGCCAGCAGCCGCAGUAAUAC
rnacentral:rRNA from 1 species